GACGAACGCUGGCGGCGUGCUUAACACAUGCAAGUCGAACGGAAAGGCCCUGCUUUUGUGGGGUGCUCGAGUGGCGAACGGGUGAGUAACGCGUGAGUAACCUGCCCUUGACUUUGGGAUAACUUCAGGAAACUGGGGCUAAUACCGGAUAGGAGCUCCUGCUGCAUGGUGGGGGUUGGAAAGUUUCGGCGGUUGGGGAUGGACUCGCGGCUUAUCAGCUUGUUUGUGGGGUAGUGGCUUACCAAGGCUUUGACGGGUAGCCGGCCUGAGAGGGUGACCGGCCACAUUGGGACUGAGAUACGGCCCAGACUCCUACGGGAGGCAGCAGUGGGGAAUAUUGCACAAUGGGCGGAAGCCUGAUGCAGCAACGCCGCGUGCGGGAUGACGGCCUUCGGGUUGUAAACCGCUUUCGCCUGUGACGAAGCGUGAGUGACGGUAAUGGGUAAAGAAGCACCGGCUAACUACGUG
rnacentral:rRNA from 1 species